rnacentral:rRNA from 1 species
AGAGUUUGAUCAUGGCUCAGAUUGAACGCUGGCGGCAGGCCUAACACAUGCAAGUCGAGCGGUAGCACAGAGAGCUUGCUCUCGGGUGACGAGCGGCGGACGGGUGAGUAAUGUCUGGGAAACUGCCUGAUGGAGGGGGAUAACUACUGGAAACGGUAGCUAAUACCGCAUAAUGUCGCAAGACCAAAGUGGGGGACCUUCGGGCCUCAUGCCAUCAGAUGUGCCCAGAUGGGAUUAGCUUGUAGGUGGGGUAACGGCUCACCUAGGCGACGAUCCCUAGCUGGUCUGAGAGGAUGACCAGCCACACUGGAACUGAGACACGGUCCAGACUCCUACGGGAGGCAGCAGUGGGGAAUAUUGCACAAUGGGCGCAAGCCUGAUGCAGCCAUGCCGCGUGUGUGAAGAAGGCCUUCGGGUUGUAAAGCACUUUCAGCGGGGAGGAAGGCGAUAAGGUUAAUAACCUUGUCGAUUGACGUUACCCGCAGAAGAAGCACCGGCUAACUCCGUGCCAGCAGCCGCGGUAAUACGGAGGGUGCAAGCGUUAAUCGGAAUUACUGGGCGUAAAGCGCACGCAGGCGGUCUGUCAAGUCGGAUGUGAAAUCCCCGGGCUUAACCUGGGAACUGCAUUCGAAACUGGCAGGCUAGAGUCUUGUAGAGGGGGGUAGAAUUCCAGGUGUAGCGGUGAAAUGCGUAGAGAUCUGGAGGAAUACCGGUGGCGAAGGCGGCCCCCUGGACAAAGACUGACGCUCAGGUGCGAAAGCGUGGGGAGCAAACAGGAUUAGAUACCCUGGUAGUCCACGCCGUAAACGAUGUCGAUUUGGAGGUUGUGCCCUUGAGGCGUGGCUUCCGGAGCUAACGCGUUAAAUCGACCGCCUGGGGAGUACGGCCGCAAGGUUAAAACUCAAAUGAAUUGACGGGGGCCCGCACAAGCGGUGGAGCAUGUGGUUUAAUUCGAUGCAACGCGAAGAACCUUACCUGGUCUUGACAUCCACAGAACUUUGCAGAGAUGGUUUGGUGCCUUCGGGAACUGUGAGACAGGUGCUGCAUGGCUGUCGUCAGCUCGUGUUGUGAAAUGUUGGGUUAAGUCCCGCAACGAGCGCAACCCUUAUCCUUUGUUGCCAGCGGUUCGGCCGGGAACUCAAAGGAGACUGCCAGUGAUAAACUGGAGGAAGGUGGGGAUGACGUCAAGUCAUCAUGGCCCUUACGACCAGGGCUACACACGUGCUACAAUGGCAUAUACAAAGAGAAGCGACCUCGCGAGAGCAAGCGGACCUCAUAAAGUAUGUCGUAGUCCGGAUUGGAGUCUGCAACUCGACUCCAUGAAGUCGGAAUCGCUAGUAAUCGUAGAUCAGAAUGCUACGGUGAAUACGUUCCCGGGCCUUGUACACACCGCCCGUCACACCAUGGGAGUGGGUUGCAAAAGAAGUAGGUAGCUUAACCUUCGGGAGGGCGCUUACCACUUUGUGAUUCAUGACUGGGGUGAAGUCGUAACAAGGUAACCGUAGGGGAACCUGCGGUUGGAUCACCU